GACGAACGCNGGCGGCGUGCUUAACACAUGCAAGUCGAACGAAAAGCGACGGAAGCUUGCUUCUAUCAAUCUUAGUGGCGAACGGGUGAGUAACGCGUAAUCAACCUGCCCUUCAGAGGGGGACAACAGUUGGAAACGACUGCUAAUACCGCAUACGAUCUAAUCUCGGCAUCGAGGAUGGAUGAAAGGUGGCCUCUACAUGUAAGCUAUCACUGAAGGAGGGGAUUGCGUCUGAUUAGCUAGUUGGAGGGGUAACGGCCCACCAAGGCGAUGAUCAGUAGCCGGUCUGAGAGGAUGAACGGCCACAUUGGGACUGAGACACGGCCCAGACUCCUACGGGAGGCAGCAGUGGGGAAUCUUCCGCGAUGGACGAAAGUCUGACGGAGCAACGCCGCGUGAGUGAUGACGGCCUUCGGGUUGUAAAGCUCUGUUAAUCGGGACGAAAGGCCUUCUUGCAAAUAGUNAGAAGGAUGA
rnacentral:rRNA from 1 species